rnacentral:ncRNA from 2 species
UCAGUAAAGCGCCAGAACCGCAUAUGUGCGUGAAAUGAUAUGCGGUUGACGAGGAGAGGACAGUAUCGAGUGUUUCGGCGGGUGGUCCUCCGGCGGCAGAGCGAAGAUGGAUUCUGCCGUCGUUAUGCAUCCAACAAAGCCGGGCGGAAGCCGCGGCACAAAAAAGAUG